CCUACGGGCGGCAGCAGUGGGGAAUAUUGCGCAAUGGGCGAAAGCCUGACGCAGCGACGCCGCGUGAGGGAUGAAGGUCUUCGGAUCGUAAACCUCUGUCAGCAGGGAAGAACGGUCACUGUGCUAAUCAGCAGUGAAUUGACGGUACCUGCAAAGGAAGCACCGGCUAACUCCGUGCCAGCAGCCGCGGUAAUACGGAGGGUGCGAGCGUUAAUCGGAAUUACUGGGCGUAAAGCGCUCGUAGGCGGUAUGUCAAGUCAAGGGUGAAAUCCCCGCGCUCAACGUGGGAACUGCCUUUGAAACUGGAAAACUGGAGGGUGUGGGAGGAGAGUGGAAUUCCAGGGGGAGGAGUGAACUCCGUAAAUAUCGGGAGGAACAUCAGUGGCGAGGGCGACUAUCUGGAACAUAACUGACGCUGAGGAGCGAAGGCGUGGGUAGAAAACAGGAUUAGAUACCCUUGUAGGC
rnacentral:rRNA from 1 species